ACCGCCCUUAGCCUAUUAAUUCGCGCGGAGCUCAGCCAACCGGGGGCACUACUAGGUGAUGAUCAAAUCUACAAUGUUAUUGUCACUGCCCACGCCUUUGUUAUAAUCUUUUUCAUAGUAAUACCAGUCAUAAUCGGCGGCUUUGGAAACUGACUAGUCCCAUUAAUAAUUGGGGCCCCAGAUAUAGCCUUUCCACGCAUAAACAACAUAAGCUUCUGACUACUCCCACCGUCACUACUCCUCCUACUCGCCUCAUCCGGCGUGGAGGCCGGCGCAGGAACAGGCUGAACAGUAUACCCGCCCCUAGCCGCCAAUAUGGCCCAUGCCGGAGCAUCAGUAGACCUAGUAAUCUUCUCACUUCACCUAGCCGGGAUUUCCUCAAUCUUAGGGGCAAUCAACUUUAUCACCACUUGUAUCAACAUGAAGUCCCCCUCCCUGUCACAAUACCACACCCCCCUUUUUGUUUGAUCAGUAAUAAUUACUGCAGUACUACUACUGCUUUCCCUACCAGUCCUUGCCGCUGGCAUCACAAUGCUUCUAACCGACCGAAAUCUUAAU
rnacentral:rRNA from 1 species